UGGGAUGGUGGCUCAGUUGGUAGAGCGCGCACACCAUGUGAAGAGGCUAUUGUCCUCAACGUGGUUGUCCUGGGUUCGAUUCUCGGUCUCCAGCAA